CCGUGUUUGUUCCCCGCUCUCCACUCCCAACUCGCCCCCGUACAGCCGUCGCCUCUCCCCCACAUCCCCAUCUUGCCGCCGCUCCCGCAGUCCUUCCCGUCCCCCCGAGAGCAUCGAACCCCGCGUCAGAGUUCAGCGGCAGAGCCGCCAGCCCUCCGCCGGAUUUGAGCGGCAGGAGCGGAGCGAAUCACCGGGCAACAAAUAAAAAGGAUUCUAGAUCGAGGAGGGAGCAAGCCAUUGCAGAGGAGAGGGGAGACGAUGGUUGGUGGAGGUCAGGCAUCAGCAGUGGAGACGAGGAAGAGCGCGAGAGGUGACGCCGGCCGGAUGAGAUGUGGCAGCGGAGCCCAAGACAGAGCAGCACAUUCUCGUCACCCUUCUCCUUGCCUCCACCCAAGCGGCUCCCUGCAGAGGAGAACUCGAUGAUAGCUCUCAGUUCAUGGAGAAAAGGCUGGCACCAGCAGAGAAAUCUCACGGGUAGAUGAGCAACAUGUUUUUGAUCUUGAAUCCCCUUUUAAAUUCAGAUUGACACUUCAAUGGCUCAUUGAGAUGAAAGUGCCAACGAAUGAUUCCCAGGGGAAGAAGCAGUUUCCAAACAAGGAAGGUAUCCUUGCUAGGUUGUUGCCAUGAAGAUGGGAGAAACAUCCUGGUCUAUGAGUCCAUGAUGAAUGGGAUUCUGAAAGAGCAUCUUCAUGUUUGAAGCUGUCCAGACCUGUAAAAUAGAUAUGCUUUGUAACCUUGAUAUAAUAGUAUAUACAUGACUAAAGGAGCGGACAUCGUCGUCGUCGUGAAGAUGCUCUAUCCCGUUUAAAAAAGAGGGUCGACGGUGCUGAUUUGUUGUUUUGUCUUCUGUUGUGCGUCUAAUCACUGUGUUUGCUAGAAGGUUGAGUUCUAAAAAAAUGAGUACAAGUUGAACGAUACCUCCAUGCAAAGGAGUUGGACCAACAAUGCAAUAAUAUCUCUCCUACUUGGAGAGUUGCUCCUUAUGUGCAGUUCCUCCUAAUUAAUCUAGACUCGGCAGGUGGAGCUCGAGCCGAGGAGCUCAGCCUCGAUCCGGAUGAGGGGAGCAGCAGCCACAGCCCUCUUCUUCGCGCACGCCUCCAGUUUAUUUACUUGUGAUGCAUUCAUCUCUCUAGAAAGAGCAUCUUGAGAAGAAGCUCUCGACUAAGAGACAUGAGUUCCUGUUAAUCUAAUGUUCCAUAUGUUUGUUAUACUACUUGGAGCCUUGGACCUUUGGCCUUUUGUCAUUUAUGUUUUUAAUCGAUUCCAUACAACAAUUUAGUCUUGGCUGUCUUAGGUGUAGCCACUAGCGAUACAGUUUCAUCCAAAGUGGUCAAUGAGGCCUUUGUAUUCUCUGAUUUGCAGCAAAGUGGGACUCCCAAGUCUUCAACCAUAAUAGAAAUCGGGAAUGGAGCAAGAGUUCUGUUGGGCAUCCUCUGCAUUUUCCAUAUCAGGUUCCAUUCUUCAUAGUAUGUGUGUAAACAUAGCAAUCCACUUCAGUUCACAAUGUCAUUUAAUACGGGAUGCAUUAGGUACUAUGUUUCCAUUAUGAACUGGUAAUAAUUAAGAGCAUAGUACGGUGACCAUAAUCUGUGUUAUAGCAGAAUGUAGAUGUGGUAUGCUUGUACGAAUAAAAUGCAGAGUUUAGAAAUGAACUAAGAUCGGAGAGCAGGAAGUGAUAGGAUUAUUUUUCAGUUAGAAAGAUAUGUAUACUGUAGCAUCAUAUACUUGUCAGGUUCAUGUUUUAUACAUCAUUUAUACACCCGCAUAAACUAAAGUUUGUUGUUUCAGCAGUAAACAGGGGCACGACUAAGUAAUAUGGGUAGAAAAAUAAGAGCUUAUGAAAAGAAUAGUAUCUCUAUUGCAGAUGUGUGAGAGCACCCCAUUAUCAUGCAAAUAGUACCAGGUUUAGAGCCUUGAUUAUGGUGGAUAUAAACACAAAUAAUCCAUCUUAUAAUUUUGUAUACAAACCACAUUCUGGUGGGAAUUACUCCAAUUAGAAUUCUAGCUGCAGCAUAUAUCUAAUUGGUCCCACAUUGAAAAUCUCAAA